GAUGAACGCUAGCGGCAGGCUUAAUACAUGCAAGUCGAGGGGCAGCAUGAUUGUAGCAAUACAAUUGAUGGCGACCGGCAAACGGGUGCGGAACACGUACACAACCUUCCAAUAAGUGGGGAAUAGCCCAGAGAAAUUUGGAUUAAUACCCCGUAACAUAACGAUGUGGCAUCACAUUGUUAUUAUAGAUUUUUCGCUUAUUGAUUGGUGUGCGGCUGAUUAGAUAGUUGGCGGGGUAACGGCCCACCAAGUCUACGAUCAGUAGCUGAUGUGGAGGAAGGAUAAGGUGCACGGGAAUUGAGAACCGGGCCCGACUCGUACAGGAGGCAGAAGUAAGGAAUAUUGGACAAUGGACGCAAGGUUGUUCCAGCCAUGCCGCGUGAAGGAUUAAGGUCCUCUGGAUUGUAAGCUUCUUUUAUAAGGGACGAAAAAAGGCUUUUCUAAGUCGUCUGACGGUACCUUAUGGAUAAGCACCGGCUAACUCCGUGCCAGCAGCCGCCGUAAAAC
rnacentral:rRNA from 1 species